ACAGAACUCCGGCAUGAACCAGCUCAGGAAAGUGUAGCAGGAGACAUGGUAGAAAGUGCAUCAAGAAUGCCUCCAGAAGUGCCUUGGUCAAAUAGCCCCCUGGAGGAGUUGAGAUCAUCAUGUAUACCAGUACAAUCUUUUUGGAAGCAUCUAUAUCUUCCAGUCUUGCAGAGAUCUCCCUCCCCACUCCUCAAUUACCGUGGCCC